rnacentral:rRNA from 1 species
CGUAGGGGGCUAGCGUUGUCCGGAAUCAUUGGGCGUAAAGCGCGCGUAGGCGGCCCGGUAAGUCCGCUGUGAAAGUCAAAGGCUCAACCUUUGAAUGUCAGCGGAUACUGCCGGGCUAGAGUCCGGAAGAGGCGAGUGGAAUUCCUGGUGUAGCGGUGGAAUGCGCAGAUAUCAGGAGGAACACCAACGGCGAAGGCAGCUCGCUGGGACGGUACUGACGCUGAGGCGCGAAAGCGUGGGGAGCGAACAGGAUUAGAUACCCUGGUAGUCCACGCCGUAAACGAUGGGCACUAGGUGUGGGAGGUGUCGACUCCUCCCGUGCCGGCGCUAACGCAUUAAGUGCCCCGCCUGGGGAGUACGGCCGCAAGGCUA